CCUACGGGUGGCAGCAGUGAGGAAUAUUGGUCAAUGGCCGAGAGGCUGAACCAGCCAAGUCGCGUGAGGGAAGACGGCCCUACGGGUUGUAAACCUCUUUUGUCGGGGAGCAAAGCGAACCACGUGUGGUUCAUUGAGAGUACCCGAAGAAAAAGCAUCGGCUAACUCCGUGCCAGCAGCCGCGGUAAUACGGAGGAUGCGAGCGUUAUCCGGAUUUAUUGGGUUUAAAGGGUGCGUAGGCGGACUGUUAAGUCAGCGGUAAAAGCCCGGGGCUCAACCCCGGCGAGCCGUUGAAACUGGCUGUCUUGAGAGGUCGAGAGGUAUGCGGAAUGCGCAGUGUAGCGGUGAAAUGCUUAGAUAUCACGAAGAACUCCGAUUGCGAAGGCAGCUCACUGGACUGCAACUGACACUGAGGCUCGAAAGUGUGGGUAUCAAACAGGAUUAGAUACCCUGGUAGUC
rnacentral:rRNA from 1 species